UAAUGAGUCAACUGCUAGGACAAAAAUACUGUUCAUUUGGAGAUGCUAUUGUAGAAGAAACUGGUGUAUGGCUGCAUGAGAGUGGCAUAUUGGGAGCCAGCCCUGAUUGAAUUAUUCGACGUGCAGCGACACACAAUUACAACUACCAGGAUGUAGAAUUAACAGACCUACUCGAGUGCAUGGCUGUUAAACCAGAAGUUUUGGAGGUGAAGUGCCCAUUUAGUGCAAGGAAUAUGUCAAUUCCCGAGGCCAUAGAAUCUGUCAAAGACUUUUGCUUGGAUUACCAAAUAUAUGAAGGAAGGAAGUUCUACAAAUUAAAGGAGGGCCACAGAUAUUACGAUCAGGUGCAAGGACAGCUGCACAUACUUAACAGGUCAUCAUGUGACUUUGUAGUGUGGACUACGGAAGACAUAGCUAUUGUGAGAAUUCUUCAGGACAGCACCUGGACCCCAAAUAUGUCAAAACUCAUCGAUUUUUACUUUUGUAAAAUAAUCCCAAAUAUUGUUCAGGACUGACAUUUGGUUAGUAUGACAUCAUAUAGGCAAUUUUGUAUAUUUGUACUGAUAUACGGUAGGUUUUUUAUGAGUGACUUAAAUUGAAGUUUUUGAUUAGUGAUUACCAGUAAUCCCAAUUUAUACACAUACAAAUAUGUUAUAUGUUUAUGUAAUAAUACAGUGAGUUGUAGGGCAAUGUCAGACUUGUAUACCUGCUACAUUGAAUAUUUUGGGACUUGACUUGAACCGCUUGUUUUCAGUAAUCAUGAGGCACUAUUUAUAAGGAAUCUUAUUGUUAUACAUAUGUACUCGGGGUAAAGCUGGAAAUCAACAACAGAAGUUAUACUUUGUUUUCUGAAUUAUUUCUGAAAGUUUUCUCAUCAUUACACAUAAUCAUGAAUAAUUAUUUCUUGAGUUUUAUAUUGUAUUGAUUGAUUUUUGCUUGUAGUGUAUUUCAGGUUGUUCCUAUUAUUUCUUACCACUUAAAAAUACACAAUAUAAUUUUUUAAUACAGUGAAAGAUUUCUUUCAGAACUGUAGAAGAAAUAAGUUAAGUAUUCUGUUCAAAUGUCUUUUUAAAUAUAUAUAUAUCAUAAACUGUGUAAUAAAUUUUUGACUGUAUAUGCUUUUUUUUUUAUCUAGUCGAAUACAUGUAAGGCCAUGCAAAGUUAAUUACUUGGUUCUCAGGCCUUUUUUCAAGAAAUAUGAUGAGGGAGGGAGGCAUUUUUUUUUUCUUUUUUAUUGCCCCCAAAACAUGACGAGGCAGCUUUUUACAUUGUACAAAUCCUCAAAAAAUGAUGAGGGAGGUGAUUUGGUGUUUAUAUUUUAUUGAUUUAGCAUUAGAAAGGGUCAAUGAGGCACCCUUGGAAGAGAUGAGGGAGGGCCUGAGAACCAAGAAAUUGAUUUUUUUUUUGCCUAAUAUGCAAGUAAACGAGACGAAGUGAUGAAAAAAUACAUGUAAAUUUUAUGUACAAUAUGGAACUACAUUUUUUGGUAUUUCACAUAUUCCAUGUAAAUAUUGGACAUCAUUUUGUCAAAGAAUUAUUUCAUAACAAUUGUACUGUUCCAUUAUCCAAAGAGACUAAUGACUCAAUGUAUUAAAAAAAAUGGAUAAAGAAUAGAAAUUUACUAUAACAUAUGUAAAAUUUGCUAGCUUUCAUGAUAUUAUAGAAUUUAAAAUAUACAUGCUUUUUUGCAAAAAAUAAUGAUAAAUGGAGUAUUUUCAAAGAAUCUUUGUAAAGGUCAAUGACAACAUACUAUUUACCUUAAAAUGCUCUUUUCAAAGUUGUUUACAAGAUUUAUGAUACAUAUAAUACAACCUUUAUUUUCCUGGCACUUAUACAUAGCACUCUACUUGAAGCAAGGUUGGGUUUGUCAAAACUUUGUUACACUUACAUUUACAAUAUCAAUUUAGGGUAUGAAUAUCAUAAAAGAAAUAUAUGUUAAAGCUGAACACAAUUACAAAUACUUGGAACCUCU